AUACAUGAACCUGGGUAAAGCAAGAAUACCGCUGACUUUGGGGAAGUGGGAAAGGGAUUCCACCUGAGGUGACACCAAGUGGACUCCUGGAGACACUGAUCUGGGGAAGGCACUGACCUAACUCGCUGACCUUAGGUAAGUGGGGAAGGGAAGACAUCCGGGAGCGAGCGGAUGGAUUCCUGGAUACAUAAACUUGGGGAAGGUUGUUGUUGAGGCUAACCUUGGGUAAAUGGGGAAGGGGAGACAUCUGGGAGCGAGCGGAUGGAUUCCUGGAUACAUGAACCUCCGGAAAGCAAGAAUACCAGCAGUUGAGGCUGACCUUGGGGAAGUGGGGAAGGGAAGACAUCCGGCGGUAGACGGAUCGAUUCCUGGAUACAUGAACCUGGGUAAAGCAAGAAUACCGCUGACUUUGGGGAAGUGGAGAAGGGAUUUCCACCUGAGGUGACACCAAGUGGACUCCUGGAGACACUGAUCCGGGGAAGGCACUGACCUAACUCGCUGACCUUAGGUAAGUGGGGAAGGGAAGACAUCCGGGAGCGAGCGGAUGGAUU